rnacentral:rRNA from 1 species
UACCCGCAGCACAAGUGGUGGUCAUUAUUAUUGGGCCUAAAGCGUCCGUAGCUGGCGUGUUAGAUGCCUGGGUAAAUCGAUGCGCUCAACGUAUCGAAUUCCGGGUAGACCGGCACGCUCGAGACCGGGAGAGGUGUAGGCUACUCGCGGGGUAGGGGUAAAAUCCUGUAAUCCUGCGGGGAGGACCAGUGGCGAAGGCGCUACACUAGAACGGCUCUGACAGUGAGGGACGAAGCCCCUGGGGGCGCAAACCGG